UACACAUACAUAUGAAAAAGAAAGGGGUCUCCCCCAAAACCCCAUAAAUUGAUGAAAGAAUUGGUGAAAUUAAAGCUAAUUUCUUGCAUGAAUGGGGAUUCUUCAUCAUCUAGCCUUAAUACACUUGUGGAUAAAUAACAUGUCUACGGACUCAAGCACGGAAGCUAACGGGUCAAAAGUAAGCAUGGAACCGAUGCUUGAACUUGGACGCUCAAGAUAAUCGGAUCAUCUUCAUGAACAAAUCAACGGGGAUUGAGUCGAAGACCAUGGAUUGUACGGGGAUGUAGUCACAUGUUGAAAUUAUAUGUAUCGUAACUUCCUUGAGUAGAUAUUAAUGAUGUAAAAGAAUUAAAAGAACUCAAUUCGAACGCCUUCUUAAAUGGGUUGUAAAACAAUAAAGAAAAGAAAUUUUAAGUUUCCAUUU